CAUAGCGACUAUCGUGGCAUAUCAAUAAGCGGAGGAAAAGAGACUAACAAGGAUUCCCUUAGUAACGGCGAGUGAAGCGGGAAGAGCUCAAAUUUGAAAUCUUCAAGGUUUUACCUUGACGAAUUGUAGUUUAAAGAAGUGUUUUCUGUUGAAGUUUUGGUAAAAGUUCUUUGGAAUAGGACAUCAUAGAGGGUGAGAAUCCCGUAUUUGACCAUUAUUUUCAGCUGUGUGAUACACUUUCAAAGAGUCGGAUUGUUUGGGAAUGCAGUCCAAAAUGGGUGGUAAAUUUCAUCUAAAGCUAAAUAUUGGCGAGAGACCGAUAGUGAACAAGUACCGUGAGGGAAAGAUGAAAAGAACUUUGAAAAGAGAGUUAAACAGUACGUGAAAUUGUCAAAAGGGAAGCGUUUGACACCAGUGUUGUUUUCUCGAAAAUCAAUUAAAGAAGGCCGGAUUUUGUGUUGUAUUGACCUUAUCAAGCUUCUUCAAUUUGUUUUGGUCUCUUUUUAAUGCACUUUUCGUUAACAAGUCAACAUCAGUUUCCUUUGCUGUAAAAGGGUAAUAGGAAGGUGGCUUCAUUUCGGUAGAAAGUGUUUAUAGCCUUGUAGCCUCUGCAAUCGGAGAGGAUUGAGGUCUGCAGCGUAGAUCCUUCGGGGCUAGAUACAUUUGUGCUAAGUUAUAGCUUUUCAUAGACAACUUGUUGACUAUGCUCAGUCAUGUAGCUUACUCGCUUAUGCUAUUUUACCUACGCUUAGGAUGUUGAUAUGCAUGACUGAUAU
rnacentral:rRNA from 1 species